UACGUAGGGGGCAAGCGUUGUCCGGAAUCAUUGGGCGUAAAGCGCGUGUAGGCGGUUCGGUAAGUCUGCUGUGAAAGUCCAGGGCUCAACCCUGGGAUGCCGGUGGAUACUGUCGGACUAGAGUACGGAAGAGGCGAGUGGAAUUCCCGGUGUAGCGGUGAAAUGCGCAGAUAUCGGGAGGAACACCAAUUGCGAAGGCAGCUCGCUGGGACGUUACUGACGCUG
rnacentral:rRNA from 1 species